GGACGAACGCUGGCGGCGUGCUUAACACAUGCAAGUCGAGCGGUAAGGCCCUUUCGGGGGUACACGAGCGGCGAACGGGUGAGUAACACGUGGGUGACCUGCCCUCAGCUCUGGGAUAAGCCUGGGAAACCGGGUCUAAUACUGGAUAUGACUCCAUGACGCAUGUUGUGGGGUGGAAAGCCUUGUGCGGCUGAGGAUGGGCCCGCGGCCUAUCAGCUUGUUGGUGGGGUGANGGCCUACCAAGGCGACGACGGGUAGCCGGCCUGAGAGGGCGACCGGCCACACUGGGACUGAGACACGGCCCAGACUCCUACGGGAGGCAGCAGUGGGGAAUCUUGCGCAAGUGGGCGAAAGCC
rnacentral:rRNA from 1 species